rnacentral:tRNA from 1 species
GCUGAUGUAGCUCAGUGGUAGAGCAGGCGCCUUGUAAGCGUCUGGUCGGGGGUUCGAAUCCCUCCAUCAGCU